rnacentral:RNase_P_RNA from 1 species
GCCGGAUAAUCGCGCCCUUACGGGUGAGGAAAGUCCGUGCAUCCAAGGACAGAUCGCCGGAGAAACUCCGGACAGCGUGAGCUGGUGGAAAGUGGCACAGGAAAUAUACUGCCGAUGGAUUUUAUAUCACAGGCGAUGGUGCAACGGUGAGUUAAGAGCUUCACCAGCGGUAUCGGAAGGUACCGGCUAGCUAAACCCCGAUCGGAUGCAAGAUUGACUCAGGUGCUUGAGGUGUCCGCCGAGCCUGAAAAAUCGCUAGAGAUUGGGAGCAAUCCCAAUACCAGAUAGAUGAUUAUCAAGGAAUUUUUCCUGAACAGAACACGGCUUAUGAGCUGCUUU